ACCAGCCAAGCUUGUGAGAUCCUGAAAGACACAGUCAACAGUGACCCGGCUGGCUGGAGACGGAGGUGGGCUCCGGGACCCUGGACUUCUCACCUUGGCUCUCUGCCUUCUUUUAUAAAAGGAGAUAGAUGAUGCUAACUCCCUGAAGACCCUGAGCAUGGAGCCCCAGACCUCUUGGAGCCUAAGGACGGCUGACCCUGUGACCCCUCCUGCCACCUCACCGUCAGUCCUGCGGAGAAUUGGGCGCCUGUUGACUCCCCUCCCUCACCUGGUUUUUAAAAGUGGUUUGCUCGAAACCCUUCGGGGAGUUCUGGCUUUUCAGGCGUGAACUGCCUUUCUCUGCUCCAGACUCUGAUGGCUCAGUUUGUUUGGCCUCACUGUGCGUCGUCCACAUGAACUUGAGUUAACAUUUUUGAGUGCCUAGACCUAGCCAUACCUGAGGUUUUCCGGCCCCUGGACUUUAUGGUGAUGUCCCCCAACACAUUCACCUUUUUUUUUUUCCCUAAGAGAUGUUGAGUUGUAGAAGGAUCCCAAAUCAUACAUAACAAUAACAUAGUAGUUUUUGAGAAAAUGCCCAUCAGUGCUACCUUUGUAUCCUUGCUAAACAUUUUCCUUUCCAAAUGUCUGUGUAGCCUGUUCCUCUUGAAUAGAAUCUCCUCAGAAA